GGAUGGAUAAAUAUCCCAUCUAUCUUCUUCCUCGUCAACCUUUUCCGCCACCUAUCUUUUAUACUAAAUAGAGGAUAGAAUUAAAAUCCGAACAGAUUUAGGAUGGAUUAGCAAUUUACCCUACGGAUACCCACUCCCAGAACCCGUUAUAUAUUAAUACCAACACAAAACCCUAGCCAUCAACACAAAACCCUAGCCAUCAUUUAACCUUGCCUGUUUGGCCGUUGCUCAAGCCUCCCACCCGAUUGGGACUCCUGAGGAGAGGAAAGUCGGGGAAGACAACCUCCCACACGAUUGAGACUCCUGGGGACGGAAAAACAGAAUAAAUACCGGGGAAAACAUAGGAAAAGUAGAUUUUUGAAGAAGGAAGAAAUCAACCUUAAAGAUUCUUACAAGCUAGCACUUCCAAAGAGCCGAAUCUGUGCCGGUCUUCAUGUGGAUGAUUUGUAGAGGUCGGACGACUUCGUGCGGCUACGAGCAACCAGAAGAGAUUCUCUCCUAUACGAGUUAUUUGUGGAGAUUAGCUUUCUACAAUCGGGUUCAGGAGGCUUUUGUAAUUUCACCAAUUCAGUCACGCUCUUGCUUCGGAGUUUAUGAACUCCACGAAGAGCAUUGGCUGCAAACCGAGAUGCAUAGAUGGUCGCUCUAAGGCUCGAACCACCAUUCAUGUGAUCACCUGCUCCUG